rnacentral:rRNA from 1 species
UACGUAGGGUGCAAGCGUUAAUCGGAAUUACUGGGCGUAAAGCGUGCGCAGGCGGCUCUGCAAGACAGGUGUGAAAUCCCCGGGCUCAACCUGGGAACUGCAUUUGUGACUGCAAGGCUAGAGUACGGUAGAGGGGGAUGGAAUUCCGCGUGUAGCAGUGAAAUGCGUAGAUAUGCGGAGGAACACCGAUGGCGAAGGCAGUCCCCUGGACCUGUACUGACGCUCAUGCACGAAAGCGUGGGGAGCAAACAGG